UACGAAGGGGGCUAGCGUUGCUCGGAAUCACUGGGCGUAAAGGGUGCGUAGGCGGGUCUUUAAGUCAGGGGGGAAAUCCUGGAGCUCAACUCCAGAACUGCCUUUGAUACUGAAGAUCUUGAGUUCGGGAGAGGUGAGUGGAACUGCGGGUGUAGAGGUGAAAUUCGUAGAUAUUCGCAAGAACACCAGUGGCGAAGGCGGCUCACUGGCCCGAUACUGACGCUGAGGCACGAAAGCGUGGGGAGCAAACAGG
rnacentral:rRNA from 1 species